GACGAACGCUGGCGGCGUGCCUAAUACAUGCAAGUCGAGCGAGUCUGCCUUGAAGAUCGGAGUGCUUGCACUCUGUGAAACAAGAUACAGGCUAGCGGCGGACGGGUGAGUAACACGUGGGUAACCUGCCCAAGAGAUCGGGAUAACACCUGGAAACAGAUGCUAAUACCGGAUAACAACAGAUGAUGCCUAUCAACUGUUUAAAAGAUGGUUCUGCUAUCACUCUUGGAUGGACCUGCGGUGCAUUAGCUAGUUGGUAGGGUAACGGCCUACCAAGGCGAUGAUGCAUAGCCGAGUUGAGAGACUGAUCGGCCACAUUGGGACUGAGACACGGCCCAAACUCCUACGGGAGGCAGCAGUAGGGAAUCUUCCACAAUGGACGAAAGUCUGAUGGAGCAACGCCGCGUGAGUGAAGAAGGGUUUCGGCUCGUAAAGCUCUGUUGUUGGUGAAGAAGGACAGGGGUAGUAACUGACCUUUGUUUGACGGUAAUCAAUUAGAAAGUCACGGCUAACUACGUG
rnacentral:rRNA from 1 species